CAGUAAUAGGCAGCCAUGAGAAUUCCUGGAUCUCAGCCACCUCCACAGAUCUAAUGACAAGGCCACAAGCAUCUAUCCUACUGGGAAAAGGGGCUUCAGUUCACUGAAAUUUUUCUAGGAGGUCUCAUUCCUAUCUUCCAGGAAAAGAAACCCAAGACUCUCCAAGGAGCUGUGCUGCACAAGCUAGUUUGAGGAUUGCUGCCCAGCAGGACCCAGCCCAGACUCCCUCACUGGAGAGCCAACUUCCUCCCUACACACAGCAU
rnacentral:lncRNA from 1 species